ACUCAACUCAGAAUUGUCCCAAGAGCUUGUGUGCUCCUGGGCAGGUGACUAUUGUUGCUGGAUGUGUCUGUGCUCAGAGGAGAGGGGUUUCUGGAAUGGAAGGAAGGGGGCUGCCGGUAAAGCUGACACGGGGUCCUACACCUCCUGGCUUGGCAGUUGCUGUGCCUGUCAUCUCAACAAGACUGAGUCUUUCCUGCUGCCUAAGGACCAGUAACAACCAGAAAAUUUUAAAUUACAAGCACUGCAUAUGCAUGUGUGCAUGCUCAGCUGUGUCCGACUCUUUGCGACCCCAUGGACUGUAGCCCACCAGGCGCCUCUGUCUAUAGGAUUUUCCAGGCAAGAAUGCUGGAGUGGGUUGCCAUUUCCUUCUCCAGGGGAUCUUCCCAACCCAGGGGUCAAACCUGAGUCUCUUGAGUCUCCUGCAUUGACAGGUGAAAAACUGAGACCCAGAGACAGAGACUUUGUCAGGGAUCCUGCUACCACUGUCUUCAUCACCAGCAGUUCCCUCCUAAGUGGAAUUCCAUGGAGAGAAAGAUGGUUUACCC
ensembl:lncRNA